rnacentral:rRNA from 1 species
UGCCAGCCGCCGCGGUAAUACGAAGGGUGCUAGCGUUGUUCGGAAUUACUGGGCGUAAAGAGCAUGUAGGCGGAUGAAUUAGUCAGAGGUGAAAGCCCCGAGCUCAACUUGGGAACUGCAUGGGAUACUGGCAUUCUAGAAUACAGUAGAGGGAGGUGGAAUUUCAGGUGUAGCGGUGAAAUGCGUAGAGAUCUGAAGGAACAUCAGUGGCGAAGGCGACCUCCUGGACUGAUAUUGACGCUGAGGUGCGAAAGCGUGGGGAGCAAACAGGAUUAGAUA